UACGGGGGGGGCAAGCGUUGUUCGGAAUUACUGGGCGUAAAGGGCUCGUAGGCGGCCAACUAAGUCGGAUGUGAAAUCCCCAGGCUCAACCUGGGAACUGCAUCCGAUACUGGAUGGCUUGAAUCCGGGAGAGGGAUGCAGAAUUCCAGGUGUAGCGGUGAAAUGCGUAGAUAUCUGGAGGAACACCGGUGGCGAAGGCGACAUCCUGGACCGGUAUUGACGCUGAGGCGCGAAAGCCAGGGGAGCAAACGGG
rnacentral:rRNA from 1 species